GUUAUAAAUAUGACCAUGUGACCAUGAUGAUAAUCAUCACUAUCAUUAUCUAAGAGAAAAAGAUGGGUAAAGAAGAAUACAAGUAGAUUUUGGGAUGUGUCUGCAAAUGGAAGUGUGGAAUACAUAGAAGAACACUAAAUAGGAAUCAACAGAAAGGGAG
rnacentral:lncRNA from 1 species